rnacentral:rRNA from 1 species
GACAGAGGGUGCAAACGUUGUUCGGAAUUACUGGGCGUAAAGGGCGCGUAGGCGGCCAUCUAAGUCAGACGUGAAAUCCCCCGGCUUAACCUGGGAACUGCGUCUGAUACUGGGAGGCUUGAGUAUGGGAGAGGGAUGUAGAAUUCCAGGUGUAGCGGUGAAAUGCGUAGAUAUCUGGAGGAAUACCGGUGGCGAAGGCGGCAUCCUGGACCAUUACUGACGCUGAGGCGCGAAAGCUAGGGGAGCAAACGGG